GUAAAGACAUAUCUGACUCACUCCACACUGUACCAAGAGCUAGCAAGGUUCAGUACAUACAGUGCAGCAUUCUAAUAUAUGGGGUGGUAAGGAGGGAAUAGUGGCUCUGAGCAUGUGUUUAGGCAGACGUUCAUGGCCAUAUAAAAUACAGAGACGUUGUUUUAACAAGGCAAAUCUAUUUACUCUAUGUAGGCAUUAUAUUUUGUAACACCUACUCACUCACUG